rnacentral:rRNA from 1 species
AACGAACGCUGGCGGCAUGCCUAACACAUGCAAGUCGAACGAGACCUUCGGGUCUAGUGGCGCACGGGUGCGUAACGCGUGGGAAUCUGCCCCUCGGUUCGGAAUAACAGUUAGAAAUGACUGCUAAUACCGGAUAAUGACUUCGGUCCAAAGAUUUAUCGCCGAGGGAUGAGCCCGCGUAAGAUUAGGUAGUUGGUGGGGUAAAGGCCUACCAAGCCGACGAUCUUUAGCUGGUCUGAGAGGAUGAUCAGCCACACUGGGACUGAGACACGGCCCAGACUCCUACGGGAGGCAGCAGUGGGGAAUAUUGGACAAUGGGCGAAAGCCUGAUCCAGCAAUGCCGCGUGAGUGAUGAAGGCCUUAGGGUUGUAAAGCUCUUUUACCAGGGAUGAUAAUGACAGUACCUGGAGAAUAAGCUCCGGCUAACUCCGUGCCAGCCGCCGCGGUAA